rnacentral:lncRNA from 1 species
CGGUGCUGCCCUCCAGCUACUACCAGCCACUGGUGCACCUGCUGUGCCACGAGGUCAAGCUGGGCAUGCAGGGCCCAGGGCCGCUGAUCCCACUCAUCGAGGAGACAACCAGCACCGAGUGUCGCCAGGACGUGGCCACGAACCUGCUCAAGCUCUUCCUGGGGCAGGGGCUGGCCAAGGACUUCCUGGACCUGCUCUUCCAGCUGGAGCUGAGUCGCACCAGUGAGGCCUGGGAAGGAGCUGGGCCCAGAACACUGGGAGGUGUUUGGGGGUGGGUGGGCUCCUCCUGUAGGAGGCAGAUGGGGUCAGACAGGAGGGAGGCAAGGAACAGAGCCAAGGGCAGAGGUGGGACAGUGAGCUGGGAGGUGGCGAGGAGGCCCUUUAUUGAGGGGCCAGCUUAGAUCCCCCAGCCCCAAGGUCCUCUGUCCUCCCCCUCCCCCAAAAGCUUUGUCCCAGCCCCCUACCCACUUGGACCUCUGUUUGUAGUUAGAGUUUGUUUGGCUACUUCCUUUGCAACCCCCACCCCCAACCUUUUUCUGCAUGGUAGAUGAAAAAUUGAAAGUACCUCUGAUUGGUCCCUUUCCACAACCAAUCAGGCUGGUCAUGGGCCAAGUCUUCAUUUGCAUAGGAGUAUAACUUUGUAACUUCACUUCAGCCUUUUCCCAAUCAAUCAGAGAUUUGCAUAGGGUGUAACUUUGAAACUUGCUUCAGCCUCUGAUAGGUCCCUUCCCUCAACCAAUCAGACUGAUUGUGGGCACUACUUCAUUUACAAGGGUGUACACCAAGUAACCAAUGGAAAACCUCUAGAGGAUAUUUAACCCCCAAAAAAUUCAGUAACCAGGCUCUUGAACCACUUGCUCAAGCCACUCCCACCCUGUGAAGUGUACCUUCAUUUUCAAUAAAUCUCUGCUUUUGUUGCCUCAUUCUUUCCUUGCUUUCUUUGUGCAUUUUGUCCAAUUCUUUGUUCAUGACACCAAGAACCUGGACACCCUUCUCGGGUAACCCACUUCCAAAAUAAUGGCAUUAAUCCAUUCAUGAGAGCCUCAGCACCUCCCACCUCCCACCACUCAACACCAUCACACUGGAGAUCAAGCCUCUAAGAUAUGAACUUUGGUGGAUACAUUUGAACCACUGCCUUGUCUUACAGGCAGAAGCUCUGACAUUUCUGAGAGGAAAACAGUUACUUCAUCCUGACCUGGAGAAGUCUCAAGUUCUGGCAAAAUAUCUCUUCUCCUCAGCAGUCCAGUCUGCAGUCUUCACCCCUCCUUUGAAUUCGUCCUGGAUCUUCUUUUCAAUCUUUUCUCUUUUCCACAGUGCAGGUCUCCCUACUUCUCUACUUUGACUUCACUACUGUUUACAUUAGAAAAAGUGAAUUUACAUAAAUAGAGGCUCUCCAGAUCUCCUAAUUUUCAGUCUUUUCCCCCCUUACUUCAGUAACAUCUCUGCUUGUUUUUCCUUCAGACCAGACCCUCAGGUGACUUUCUGCCCCCUCAUCCCUCUGCCCCCAGUCUCCAUAUUCUAGAGGAGUUUGGCCAUCAGUCUUAUGGUACUUAUACUGUCUUCUCUUUGGUGAACAUAUCUUUUUUUCUCUUCUUUGUCUGGGAAUACUCCUAUUUAAUCACCUUCUAGUUGUCAGGUUCCUUCACCCAUUUGGCCACCAGUCCCAGGUGGAAGCCCUAGGAGGUCUAGGAACACUUUUCAAAUUUUAGUCUACCUGAGGAGAAGCUACCCUUACCUGAAACCAGGUUGUGCAGGCCAAAGAAGCAGGUCUCUGUGUUCUGGAAUUAGAUCAGCUCAGUGAGGUGACCAAGCUCCAUGUAGAGAAGACUAUAAGGAGGAGUCUCUAGUGGUGAGAAGUUUGAGGGAGCAUGAUACUGCUUCCUGUUGCAGUGUAUGGAAACCUGUUUCAGCUUGAUAGGCCAGGGAAAGCCUUAGAGGAGGUAACUAACCCUGGAGCAGAGACUGGGUUCUGAGGUAGGAGCCAGCUUAAUUGGUCUGAGAAGUGGGACACAGGGAGAAGGAGAGGCCAAGGGAAGGGCUUUGGGUUUUAUUCUAUGUGUAAUGGAAACCCUGAUGGGUUUUAAAGAGGAGAGGAUGUGGCCUGCCCUAUGUAGACCCCCUCGCCCUUAUCCCUCUCAUGCUCCCAUUUUUCUUGUUUAAGUUUCCUGUUGGCUGUCCUGUAACCACUCAAUGGGUUCUUCUUUCCUGUUGCUCAGAUACAGCUGAUCUAUCAAGAUCAGAGAAAGAGUAUAAUACACAUAGAGCCAGCCAAAUGGGAGACUAGAGUUUUAUUAUUACUCAAAUCAGCCUCCCCGAAAAUUUGGAGGCGAAGAUUUUUAAAGAAUAGUUUGGCAGGCAGGGGGCUAGGGAAUGGGUGCUGCUAAUUGGUUUGGGGUGCAGUCAUAGGGCUGUGGAAAAUGGUCUUCAUGUGCUGUCUGCUUCUGGGUGGGGCCACAGGAGUCUAACUGGGGCCAUCCAGUUAUCAGAGAUGCAAAAGCCUGAAAAGACAUCUCAAAAGGCCAAUCUUAGGUUCCACAAUAGUGAUGUUAUUUACAGGAGUUAUUGGGGGAAGUUGUAAAUCUUGUGACCUUUGGAAUAAUGGCAGUAAUCAUUUAACUACAAAUUCAGGCCCCUCUCAUCCUUCUAACCUG